rnacentral:lncRNA from 1 species
UUUGAACACAAAACAUUUAUUUUGAGCAAACAACAUUAAAACUGCAUAGGAAUAUUUUAAGGUCCACACAGUCCACAGGGACAACAGUGACUAUUUUAAGGCUGCUGAUAGCAGAUAUGACAAUUUUGUUGCUACAUCUUCCAGCCUUCCCUAUGGACCAUGAAAGACAGUACAUUCAGAAAACUUCCUUCGGAAUUUUGUCAAUCCUUUGUUCUAUAGAACACAAGCAUGUAUUUAGCCAUGCUAUUCCUACAGUGUGCGAGUUCUGUGCAUCUCAACCACUUGUAACCUUUGUGACAUAGGGAGGCCCAGAGUGCAUUGCUUUGCAAUAUGAAGUCAGCUCUCGACAACAUCACAAGGCUACAAACCACUGAGUGGCAGGUUCUAGAUCACUGAAGGAAGAAUUUAAGGAGAAGGAGGAAAAAAAAAAUUUCAUAAAAUAGAGGUCAUUAUUUCUCAUCCACAUGAGAGCGCAGAUGUCAAGAUUACAAAACCCAUGCAAUUUUUUUUUUUAACGUACACUAUAUAAAUACAUAUGUAAGUAAGGAGUUAUUUUUCUUUUCUCUGAGUGUUUAAUGAUCAAGACACAAAACCAGUAUGUACCAAAGGAAAUAUUUGUGAGUCACAGACAACUGUUUUUUGUAGAAAUAAUGGUUCCUAAAUAAGGGUCUGUAUUACAUUUACCCACCCUCCGGGAUUAGUGGAAGCAUAACAAAAUGAUAGGAUGUAGGGAUAAGUAACCUGUGCCAUUCAGAUGCUCUGAUUUAGGACUUCAAGGCAGCUAACAACAACACAACCUGGGAAUUCUAAGAACCCCAGGCCAUUGCAACUACAGUUGGAUAAAACACACACACUCAUACUCACUUUGACACAAGGCACUCUUAAUGAAAGAUCGUUCAGAUAAUCUAUUUCCCUAGCUGCCUACUGUUCUUUCACUCUGGUUAAUGACAUACAGACAGAGCAAAUACAGUACAAAAUACAUUUGUUUUGUAUGAGACAAGUUGAAUUGACACUACAUUUCCACAUACACAAGCAGUCACAAGUUUAGAACUUUAAUUCCAGCUAUUUAGAAGGCCCAAUACACAACAAAACAAGUUUGUGACCAAUUAGGGAAUGACAAAAUUACAUGGAAGCAAAAUAUAUCCAAAUACAGUAUUUAUAGAGACUUAUUUCAGAAUUCAAGAGCUACAGGACUGGACAUUAAGAAAACAAAAAACAAAACCCAAACUUAAGCAGGUUUUUUAUUUGUUACUUUUUUUUUUUUUUUUUUUAAGGUCCAAGUCUGAAAACCUGUUUUGUGCUCGUUUUGGGUAAAUUCUCGUUUUACUUUUUUUUUUUUUUUUUUAAAAUUUUACCAAAUUUAACUGGGGUUAAGCGGGAAAAACCCUUAAAUAAAAUUAUUACAUUGUUAUUAAUUGCUAUACAAUUAAGAAAUAGUACAGAGCCCCAGAUAUGUCCUCCUCACUUCAUGUGAAUGCUGUACUAUCUUGACCACUUGAUUUAGUACAUUGUGCCCAUGAGAUAGUACAGCGUGUGCAUGAGAUGGUUAAAUCACUUGCACACUAACUAUAUUGUACUCACAAAAAUAAUCUGAGCACACAACCUAAGUUGUGUGCAUGGUAUCAUUAACUAGUGCACAUGAUCUAUUAAAUUGCGUGAAUGAGAUAACUAUGACAUGGGCAUGACGUAUUCUGCUUGCUCUGGAGAUUCUCCUACCUUAGGCAUGCCUGUCUGAGAUCUCUUAAAAUUUUACAUCACAGACCUACUCGGUGCUCUAGCACUUGUACAAAUCUGAAUCUUUCACUUCAGCAGCCUUAGGUCAUCGAGGGAACGCCUAAUGCAGGAUGACUUCUAGUGCAAGUGGGCUACUUUGUGCCCAAAGGAUGACUAUAUUAUCGGUCGUGCAUGCAAACUAUUUAGUUAUUUUCUUCAUACUAAAUAGUAAACUGUGCGCAUAAUGUAAAUGAAUAUUUUAUCUGAAACCUCUGGGUCUCUGUAUAAUUGUGUAUUUAAUUAGGGGUAUAAAAAUUUAAUAAAGUCAUUGUUAAAUAUUAUGCUGCUGGUACUAUACUAUUAUAUGGUAAAUAUAAAAUAAAAUGUGAGAUUACCCAAAAAUGCACAAAACUCUGAUGUAUAGUUUACAUGUUGAUCUUGAACACAAGACAGUAAUAGGAGAGAAAACCCAAGACACCCACUUUUGCACAGUGAGCAGUUAUUUUUCUUGGCUGGAUUGUCUUUGACAGUUACCCAUUAAAUGCAGAUGAAUAAAAAAAAAA